GUUGUCCUACGGGGCGCAGCAGUGGGGAAUAUUGCACAAUGGGGGAAACCCUGAUGCAGCAACGCCGCGUGAAGGAAGACGGUUUUCGGAUUGUAAACUUCUUUUCUUAGUGAAGAAGCAAGUGACGGUAGCUAAGGAAUAAGCAUCGGCUAACUACGUGCCGGCAGCCGCGGUAAUACGUAGGAUGCGAGCGUUAUCCGGAAUUACUGGGUGUAAAGGGAGCGCAGGCGGAACUGCAAGUUGGAUGUGAAAUACCGCAGCUUAACUGCAGAGCUGCAUCCAAAACUGUAGUUCUUGAGUGGAGG
rnacentral:rRNA from 1 species